UACGGAGGGUGCGAGCGUUGUCCGGAAUCAUUGGGCGUAAAGAGCGUGUAGGCGGCCCGAUAAGUCCGCUGUGAAAGUCCAGGGCUCAACCCUGGAAUGCCGGUGGAUACUGUCGGGCUCGAAUCCGGAAGAGGUGAGUGGAAUUCCUGGUGUAGCGGUGAAAUGCGCAGAUAUCAGGAGGAACACCAAUGGCGAAGGCAGCUCACUGGGACGGUAUUGACGCUGAGACGCGAAAGCGUGGGGAGCAAACAGG
rnacentral:rRNA from 1 species